rnacentral:tRNA from 1 species
CAUUAGAUGGCUGAAUGCAAGCAAUGGUCUCUUAAACCAAUUUAUAGUAAAAUAGUAAUUACUUCUAAUG